CAGCCGCCGCAGCCCCCGCAGGGUCCUGGGGUAGGGGCGGGCGGGGGCCCUGGAAACCACCGGGGAAGGUCGCUGGAAAAGUCCUCGGACACCCCCUCCUGCAAGGCGGCUGGCGGGGCCGGCUCCAGAAUCUGCCCUCUCACCAUCCUUCCGUUCAGUCGGGCUCUCGGAAUGGCUGGCCGCGGAGACUGUUGAGGGUGGAGGGGUCAGAAUCGACAAGUGUUGAUCCCUUCGGUCUAAGACUCAGGACUUGUCAGUUAUUUAAUGUGCUGGUCCAGCACACUGAAGGGAAACACGUUGGUGGUCUCUGGAUUUAGCCCCCACUCUCCUGAGAGACUGCUCUGCCAGCUUUUAGAUUCAAAUGGAGAAAAUCAUUUGCUGUGGAAGGAAGCGUCUCAUGAAAGAACCGUCACCGAACUGUCCCAGAGUCAGCAUGUAUCAUUCUCUGAAUCAGAUGCAACUUCUUCAGAAGGUACUGAGUUACCUGCGGACUGGAGUAUUAAAACCCGGCUCCUUUUCACCUCUUCUCAACCCUUUUCCUGGGCAGAGCAUUUGAAAGCACAGGAAGAAGCCCAAGGUCUUCUCCAGCAUUGUAGGGCAGCAGAAGUUACUUUACCCCAGAGUAUACAGGAUCCCAGACUCUGCACUGAGUUGCGUUGUGCCUUCCAGCAGACUCUUGUCUACUGGCUCCACCCUGCCUUUUCAUGGCUGCCGCUGUUCCCUCGAAUUGGAGCUGAUAGGAAAAUGGCGGGAAAGUCAAGCCCAUGGUCACACGAUGAGACCCUGCAGCAUACGUUAAUGAGUGACUGGUCUGUAAGUUUUACUUCCUUGUAUAACCUGUUGAAGACCAAGCUUUGCCCCUUUUUCUACGUUUGUACCUAUCAGUUUACCGUCCUGUUCCGGGCAGCCGGAUUAGCAGGAAGUGACGUGGUCACAGCGCUCAUAUCUCCUACAACUAGAGGUUUAAGAGAAGCUAUGAAAAAUGAAGGUAUUGAAUUUUCUCUGCCUUUGCUAGAAGCAAGUGGCUGUAAGAAGAAAGUAGGAGAAGCAAACCUGGAGUACGAUGAGGAGCAAGCGGCCAGCGAUGAAGAUGAAGAGGAGAGCUUGUCUUGGCUGGAAGAGAUAGGUGUGCAAGAUCAAAUUAAAAAGCCAGACACGAUCUCUAUCAAGCUACUGAGGGAAAAACAUGAAGUACAAGUGGAUCACAGGCCCGAGUCUGCUGUGCUGGUGAAAGGGCCCAACGCUUUCACAUUGCUCAACUUUUUGAUCAACUGCAAGAGCUUAGUUGCCACCUCGGGUGCCCAGGCAGGCCUCCCUCCGACCCUUUUAUCCCCGGUAGCCUUUCGAGGUGCCUCAAUGCAAAUGCUGAAGGCACGAAGCAUUAAUGUCAAGACACACGCUCUUUCUGGAUACAGAGAUCAGUUUAGUUUAGAGAUCACGGGUCCCAUCAUGCCUCAUGCUCUGCAUUCUGUGACCAUGCUACUCCGAUCUUCACAGAGAGGGUCAUUCUCUGCUGGGAUGUAUGCACAUGAGCCUACUGCUGUAUUCAAUGUCCGCCUGCCACUGGAUGAAGACCUGCAUAGAAAAGUUGAUCAUAAGGACCUUGCUAAUUGUGGGCUGCACCCCAAAACCCUGGAACAGCUAAGUCAAAUACCAUUGCUGGGGAAGUCAUCCUUACGGAAUGUGGAAAUGAGUGACUACAUCUAUAAUUGGAGAUCCUGAACACCAAAGCUUGGGCACCAGUAUUAGCCAGCUGUUCCUGUGUCAGGACUUGCACUCCCGUACUUCCUGUGAACUGCCCAGGGAUAGAGUUCAACUGAGCCCAGGCAUCAAUCUGAAGAAAAAGAAGCCAUCUUCAUUACGUAAAAUUACUGAUCUGAUGUAAGUGCCAUACUGGUAGUUUAAUUCACUGAGGAAAAACGGUUUGGUUCCUAAAAUAGCCAAAUAAUGAUAUAUUUAAAGUUCAAUGUUUUCCCAAGUCUUCCAGUUUUACAGCAUUCAAUGAAAUCUACUAAUGCAGAAGAAGAUGCUACAUGUAAAAAAAUAAACCACAGUCUAUGUAUUAAGAUUCUUGGAAAAUGAGAAGAUUCGAAAGGCAAAGAGGGCACUCCUGGAAAAUAGAAGACAAUUAAGAUUCACACAAGUAUCGUGAAAAUUCUGUAGUCACUCCUUACUGAGGAUGCUGCUGGCUGGUUUCUGGGAAGGAAGACGAUGCUAUGGCAGAGGGGACACCACCUGAGGAGUUCUUUUCCAUAACAUGGAUUGACGCAGUUCUGUCCGUGUCAUGUCAGCACACUCACGUGCAAGACAGUUGUGGGAUCAGGGGUGACAACAAGGAUAUUUAAGCCCUUGUGAAGAUAUAUUCUGUCAUCUUUGCUAAAAUGUUUUAUGGUCAAGACUGAAGAUCCCUAAACUUCAGUUAUAUUUAUUAAAAUUAAAACAAAAAAGGAGGAUUUUAAAAAUACUACCUCACCGUUUACAAAAAAAAAAAAAAAAAGAAAUUUGCAUUACUCUUAAUAAAAAAAAUCUCAUUUGAAGCCCCACUGAAACCAGAAGGGUCAGUGCUCCUCUGAUAGAACAUCAACUCUACAAAUAUAGUACACUUAGAUGGUAGUAACAAGCUGAGUAGUGUUAUCAAUUGUCAGCCUUCCUUGGGCGUCUUUAACACUGCUUCAGAAAUGCAUAUAUGACAGCAAAACCAUCGUGUCUUUUCCUAGUUUGGAAUUCUUUUCAUCAGUCUACACUCUGCAUCUAUCUCCCCAGGAAACAUUACGCUUUAUUCAUCUGACCCACUGGUCGGGCGUUCCUUUUGGUCCAGUGUUUCCGUCUUCUCUCAACACUGCCCCCUUAAUUAGAAUCUAACCUCUAGCGGGAGAAGAGGCUACAGCAUCACUUCCAAUGUUGAGACUGAAAAUGGCAGUCAAAUUUUAAAUAAUAAACUUUCUUGUUCAAAAAAUAUAAUCAACAUGCACUAAGCAUUUUCCCCAUGAUUCAGCAGAAGCUAAAAAUUAUAAUCCUUUUCUCAAGAAAAUGUCAGAAUUCUACAAUAUUUCUAAGUCUUUGCUACAUAGGAGAUUCUCUCUGGCUAUAGUCUUCCCAGCUGUUUAAAUGAUAAUCUGUAAUAAACUACCGAAAGCAUA